rnacentral:tRNA from 1 species
GUGGUCGUAGCUCAGUUGGUAGAGCCCCAGAUUGUGGUUCUGGUUGUCGCCGGUUCGAGUCCGGUCGAUCACCCCA